rnacentral:rRNA from 1 species
UACGUAGGGUGCGAGCGUUAAUCGGAAUUACUGGGCGUAAAGCGUGCGCAGGCGGUUCGUUAAGUUCGAUGUGAAAGCCCCGGGCUCAACCUGGGAACUGCAUUGGAAACUGGCGGGCUUGAGUGUGGCAGAGGGGGGUGGAAUUCCACGUGUAGCAGUGAAAUGCGUAGAUAUGCGGAGGAACACCGAUGGCGAAGGCAAUCCCCUGGGCCUGCACUGACGCUCAUGCACGAAAGCGUGGGGAGCAAACAGG